rnacentral:rRNA from 1 species
AUUGAACGCUGGCGGCAGGCCUAACACAUGCAAGUCGAACGGUAACAGGAAGCAGCUUGCUGCUUCGCUGACGAGUGGCGGACGGGUGAGUAAUGUCUGGGAAGCUGCCUGAUGGAGGAGGAUAACUACUGGAAACGGUAGCUAAUACCGCAUAAUGUCGCAAGACCAAAGAGGGGGACCUUCGGGCCUCUUGCCAUCGGAUGUGCCCAGAUGGGAUUAGCUUGUUGGUGGGGUAACGGCUCACCAAGGCGACGAUCCCUAGCUGGUCUGAGAGGAUGACCAGCCACACUGGAACUGAGACACGGUCCAGACUCCUACGGGAGGCAGCAGUGGGGAAUAUUGCACAAUGGGCGCAAGCCUGAUGCAGCCAUGCCGCGUGUAUGAAGAAGGCCUUCGGGUUGUAAAGUACUUUCAGCGGGGAGGAAGGGAGUAAAGUUAAUACCUUUGCUCAUUGACGUUACCCGCAGAAGAAGCACCGGCUAACUCCGUG